AACGUAGGUGGCGAGCGUUAUCCGGAUUUACUGGGCGUAAAGCAUGUGCAGACGGGUUGGUAAGUGGUGUAUGAAAGCGUCCGGCUUAACCGGGCAAGGGUAUGCCAGACUGCCAGUCUUGAGAAUGGGAGAGGGAUGUGGAAUUCCGGGUGUAGUGGUGAAAUGCGUAGAGAUCCGGAGGAACCCCAGAGGCGAAGGCGGCGUCCUGGCCCAUUUCUGACGUUCAGGCACGAAAGCGUGGGGAGCAAAAGGG
rnacentral:rRNA from 1 species